CACGUAGGCGGACAUUUAAGUCAGGGGUGAAAUCCCGGGGCUCAACCCCGGAACUGCCUUUGAUACUGGGUGUCUCGAGUCCGGAAGAGGUGAGUGAAAUUCCGAGUGUAGAGGUGAAAUUCGUAGAUAUUCGGAGGAACACCAGUGGCGAAGGCGGCUCACUGGUCCGGUACUGACGCUGAGGUGCGAAAGCGUGGGGAGCAAACA
rnacentral:rRNA from 1 species